rnacentral:rRNA from 1 species
GACGAACGCUGGCGGCGUGCUUAACACAUGCAAGUCGAACGGAAAGGCCCUGCUUUUGUGGGGUGCUCGAGUGGCGAACGGGUGAGUAACACGUGAGUAACCUGCCCUUGACUGUGGGAUAACUUCAGGAAACUGGGGCUAAUACCGGAUAGGAGCUCCUGCUGCAUGGUGGGGGUGGGAAAGUUUCGGCGGUUGGGGAUGGACUCGCGGCUUAUCAGCUUGUUGGUGGGGUAGUGGAUUAGCAAGGCCUGGACGGGUGGCCGGCCUGGGAGGGGGACCGGCCACAUUGGGCCUGAGAUGCGGCACAGCCUCCUCCGGGAGGCAGCAGUGGGGAAUAUUGCACUAUGGGCGGAAGCCUGAUGCAGCCCCGCCGCGUGCGGGAUGACGGCCUUCGGGUUGUAAACCGCUUUCGCCUGUCACGAAGCGUGAGUGACGGUACUGGGUAAAGAAGCUCCGGCUAACUCCGUG